UACGCAGGGUGCGGACGUUGUCCGGAAUUACUGGGCGUAAAGACCUCGUAGGUGGUUUGUCGCGUUGUUCGUGAAAUCUCACGGCUUAACUGUGAGCGUGCGGGCGAUACGGGCAGACUAGAGUACUGCAGGGGAGACUGGAAGUCCUGGUGUAGCGGUGGAAUGCGCAGAUAUCAGGAGGAACACCGGUGGCGAAGGCGGGUCUCUGGGCAGUAACUGACGCUGAGGAGCGAAAGCGUGGGGAGCGAACAGG
rnacentral:rRNA from 1 species